GAUGAACGCUGGCGGCGUGCCUAAUACAUGCCAGUCGAGCGAACAGACGAGGAGCUUGCUCCUCUGACGUUAGCGGCGGACGGGUGAGUAACACGUGGAUAACCUACCUAUAAGACUGGGAUAACUUCGGGAAACCGGAGCUAAUACCGGAUAAUAUAUUGAACCGCAUGGUUCAAUAGUGAAAGACGGUUUUGCUGUCACUUAUAGAUGGAUCCGCGCCGCAUUAGCUAGUUGGUAAGGUAACGGCUUACCAAGGCAACGAUGCGUAGCCGACCUGAGAGGGUGAUCGGCCACACUGGAACUGAGACACGGUCCAGACUCCUACGGGAGGCAGCAGUAGGGAAUCUUCCGCAAUGGGCGAAAGCCUGACGGAGCAACGCCGCGUGAGUGAUGAAGGUCUUCGGAUCGUAAAACUCUGUUAUUAGGGAAGAACAAAUGUGUAAGUAACUAUGCACGUCUUGAAGGUACCUAAUCAGAAAGCCACGGCCAACUACGUG
rnacentral:rRNA from 1 species